rnacentral:pre_miRNA from 12 species
AAAUACAAUAAACUUAUUUUCUCUUCCCCAGUCUUCCUGGAGUAAGGAAAAACUCGAUUGAGAGGGUGAAAUGAUGACAACA